UGCAAAGUGAAGUAAUUGGUAACUUGUGGGGCUCAUGAUCCCAAAUUAUAGGUUCAAAUCCUGUCUUUGCAA
rnacentral:tRNA from 1 species